CGAUAGAACGCUGAAGACUGGUGCUUGCACUAGUCAGAUGAGUUGCGAACGGGUGAGUAACGCGUAGGUAACCUACCUCAUAGCGGGGGAUAACUAUUGGAAACGAUAGCUAAUACCGCAUGACAAUUAAGUACUCAUGUACUAAAUUUAAAAGGAGCAAUUGCUUCACUAUGAGAUGGACCUGCGUUGUAUUAGCUAGUUGGUGAGGUAACGGCUCACCAAGGCCACGAUACAUAGCCGACCUGAGAGGGUGAUCGGCCACACUGGGACUGAGACACGGCCCAGACUCCUACGGGAGGCAGCAGUAGGGAAUCUUCGGCAAUGGGGGCAACCCUGACCGAGCAACGCCGCGUGAGUGAAGAAGGUUUUCGGAUCGUAAAGCUCUGUUGUUAGAGAAGAACGGUAAUGGGAGUGGAAAAUCCAUUACGUGACGGUAACUAACCAGAAAGGGACGGCUAACUACGUGCCAGCAGCCGCGGUAAUACGUAGGUCUCGAGCGUUGUCCGGAUUUAUUGGGCGUAAAGCGAGCGCAGGCGGUUAUUUAAGUCUGAAGUUAAAGGCCGUGGCUCAACCAUGGUUCGCUUUGGAAACUGGAUAACUUGAGUGCAGAAGGGGAGAGUGGAAUUCCAUGUGUAGCGGUGAAAUGCGUAGAUAUAUGGAGGAACACCGGUGGCGAAAGCGGCUCUCUGGUCUGUAACUGACGCUGAGGCUCGAAAGCGUGGGGAGCAAACAGGAUUAGAUACCCUGGUAGUCCACGCCGUAAACGAUGAGUGCUAGGUGUUAGGCCCUUUCCGGGGCUUAGUGCCGCAGCUAACGCAUUAAGCACUCCGCCUGGGGAGUACGACCGCAAGGUUGAAACUCAAAGGAAUUGACGGGGGCCCGCACAAGCGGUGGAGCAUGUGGUUUAUUCGAAGCACGCGAAGA
rnacentral:rRNA from 1 species